GUUAUCUCAGACCAGCACCCUGUAUUCACAUUAUGAAUCAGGAAGAUGUCUACCAUUCUAUCCAGUAGGAUCCCAAAGCCAACUGCAAGUUCUGGGGCCCCUGUAAUCUUGAAAAUCCAUUCCCCUGCAACCUGGAAGUUCUGCAUCAUACAAGGAAAGGAAGACUAAUAGACAAAAUUCUCCCACUUCACCUCAAUGCUGGCAAAAAAAUGGAGGAACUUUCAUUGUUUUUUUUCCUGCAAAUGCUAUUCAGCUUCCUGACAGCAAUGCUACUCUGUUGAACACCUGGAUGACAGAGUAAGCUUCCUCUUUUAUACAAUGGUAGCAGCUUAUGUGCUCAACUGUGUGAGGGCAGGAACUGAAGACUGUUUCCUCGGAAAACAAGAGAAAGCUGAAUGUCACCAUUGCAGAUCCUGGAGCCAGAGACUGGAUUUGUGAGUGAGAGUGUAAAGGCUGCCCUGGGUCCUGUAUAAGAAGAGAGGCAGGAUAUAAAUCAAAUAAAUAAAUACAUUUGCUGUGA